rnacentral:ncRNA from 1 species
GGCGCCCGACGUCACCAACCAAGGUUGGUUGGUGGGUGAAAACCCACCGACCAACCCCCCUGACCCCCCGGUCCGGCCCGGCUCACUCGCAUGGGUGAACUGUGCCAACUCGGCUGGAUUUGAGAGCGGUUGGCUGGCAUAUGCUCGCCGCGACCACCCCAGAAAUGAGACGGCCCCCGUCGGGACUGGCAUCCCGGGCGAGGGCCUGACCAAGUAGGAAGUAAGCGGCUUCCCU